AUUGAACGCUGGCGGCAGGCCUAACACAUGCAAGUCGAACGAGUGGCGGACGGGUGAGUAAUGUCUGGGAAACUGCCUGAGGGAGGGGGAUAACUACUGGAAACGGUAGCUAAUACCGCAUACAAUCAGAUGUGCCCAGAUGGGAUUAGCUUGGUGGGGGGGUAACGGCUCACCAAGGCGACGAUCCCUGGCUGGGCUGAGCGGAGGACCAGCCACACUGGGACUGAGACACGGCCCAGACUCCGACGGGAGGCAGCAGUGGGGAAUUUUGGACAAUGGGCGCAAGCCUGAUGCAGCCAUGCCGCGUGUAUGAAGAAGGCCUUCGGGUUGUAAAGUACUUUCAGCGGGGAGGCGUUACCCGCAGAAGAAGCACCGGCUAACUCCGUGCCAGCAGCCGCGGUAAUUC
rnacentral:rRNA from 1 species